AUACUGGAUCUGAUCACUGUAUGGGGAGACAAAUUUUUCUAUCAGACUCCAUUACAGAAGAUUGAAAUGCAAAGCAUAAGGAAAAAAAAAUCCCCAGG